rnacentral:rRNA from 1 species
CCUACGGGCGGCUGCAGUGAGGAAUAUUGGUCAAUGGGCGGAAGCCUGAACCAGCCAAGUAGCGUGCGGGAUGAAGGCCCUACGGGUCGUAAACCGCUUUUGCACGGGGACAACACCCUCCACUUGUGCCUGUCUGCAGGUACCUUGCGAAUAAGGGCCGGCUAAUUCCGUGCCAGCAGCCGCGGUAAUACGGAAGGCCCGAGCGUUAUCCGGAUUCAUUGGGCUUAAAGGGAGCGUAGGCGGGCGUUCAAGUCAGCUGUAAAAUCGCGCGGCUCAACCGCGCCCCGCAGUUGAAACUGGAUGCCUUGAGUUGACAACAGGCAGGCGGAAUUCGUGGUGUAGCGGUGAAAUGCAUAGAUAUCACGAGGAACCCCGAUUGCGAAGGCAGCCUGCCGGGGUGCGACUGACGCUGAGGCUCGAAGGUGCGGGUAUCAAACAGGAUUAGAUACCCCAGUAGUC